rnacentral:rRNA from 1 species
CAUGCAAGUCGAACGCGUCUCCGUUGAUGAUUUUAGGUGCUUGCACUUGAAAGAUUUAACAUUGAGACGAGUGGCGAACUGGUGAGUAACACGUGGGUAACCUGCCCUUGAAGUAGGGGAUAACACUUGGAAACAGGUGCUAAUACCGUAUAACAACCAAAACCACCUGGUUUUGGUUUAAAAGACGGCUUCGGCUGUCACUUUAGGAUGGACCCGCGGCGUAUUAGCUUGUUGGUAAGGUAACGGCCUACCAAGGCGAUGAUACGUAGCCGACCUGAGAGGGUAAUCGGCCACAUUGGGACUGAGACACGGCCCAAACUCCUACGGGAGGCAGCAGUAGGGAAUCUUCCACAAUGGACGAAAGUCUGAUGGAGCAACGCCGCGUGAGUGAUGAAGGGUUUCGGCUCGUAAAACUCUGUUGUUGGAGAAGAACAGGUGUCAGAGUAACUGUUGACAUCUUGACGGUAUCCAACCAGAAAGCCACGGCUAACUACGUGCCAGCAGCCGCGGUAAUACGUAGGUGGCAAGCGUUGUCCGGAUUUAUUGGGCGUAAAGCGAGCGCAGGCGGUUUUUUAGGUCUGAUGUGAAAGCCUUCGGCUUAACCGGAGAAGUGCAUCGGAAACCGGGAGACUUGAGUGCAGAAGAGGACAGUGGAACUCCAUGUGUAGCGGUGAAAUGCGUAGAUAUAUGGAAGAACACCAGUGGCGAAGGCGGCUGUCUGGUCUGUAACUGACGCUGA